rnacentral:lncRNA from 1 species
CUGGGGAAUCCGAGCACAGGGCGGGACGUUCUUCUCAGAGUCCCUUUGGGCCCCACCCAGCGGCACCUCUUGUCUCUUUGUCACUCUUCCAGAACAUCUACAUCUGCCACAUGUGUUUCCUCCGCGAUCAUCGGCCUUUGCAAUGCGUGAGACCAGCUUAACUCUGCCACGUGUGGGAACCAGGCUGCCUCCUGACCUCCACGCCAAGGUCGGCUCUGCCAGGUGACACACCACACUGUCUUGUGAUUACCAGGCUCGACCAACUCUGGGUCCUGGACUGAUGCACCCGGACAGUGGGGCAAAAAGGGCGCGCCAGGGACGCCUGCACUGUGUGAGUUCCCUGGACUGGGACUUUGAGGAAGCCCAGGAAUGCUGAAGGAGUGUCUAUGCAAGUGGCCGCUAGUCGAUUCUGAGUUCCCGGCACCAGGGGGCACCAGAAACCGCCCGAGUCCCGUAGUGCCCACGCGGCCGGGAGGCUGCGUUGUCAUUUUAAGUAAAAAAUCGGCGAACAACCACUCCCUCUACAAACCUUCCCAAACCGAAUCAGCCCGGGAACCUGUGGAUGUCCUUACUGGCAUCCCUGCUUCACCGUCUCCUACCCCUCCAUUCUCUCUCCCUAGUUUCGGUCUUCCCACUUCCACCCAGGUGGUUUCUUGGCAACCUGCUUUUAGACAGCCCCUUCGCCUCGUCACCGAGACAGCUUUGCAGCGGGUGAGCGCUCCCGCCGCCAGUGCCCCCGCACUUUCUUGUGCUGGCAGGCUGGGAGGUUUGUUUGGGCUUUGCCUUCAAGAUCCAGGUCUCAGGAAAAGAAAAAGGAGGCGGUGGAGCGGGAAAGGGGGUUCGCUACAAACUCGGCGGUUUUCUUUUGGGGUUAGUGACAGAAAUUACUGAAAGCAACAGCUUUUCUUCAUUGUG